rnacentral:tRNA from 1 species
GGGGAGUUUCCCGAGUGGUCAAAGGGGACAGACUGUAAGUCUGCUGGCUCCGCCUUCGUAGGUUCGAAUCCUUCACUCCCCA